UGGGUGUCCUUGCAAAUAUUUGGUUUCAGAGGACAGGUCACGUUACACAGCUGAACAUUUGGAGAGUGAAAGGCCUGCGGCAAUGAGCCUCUGUCCCCACUGUCCCAUAGCCGCCAGCAGACAGCCCAUAAAAACGCGGGGCUGGUGUUCCCACAGAGGACUGUUGGUUUUAUGGGCUGGGGGAGGGAGGCAGAAGACCAUGGUCGUGGGGAGACUGCCAGAGAGUCUCCAUUAAGUGGGUCUCAGCUUCCGGGGACACAGCCACCCUGGAGGGACACCUGGGUUCCGGGGGCCCAUUGGGGACUCGAUGUUCUUUGAGGGCUCCCUCCCACCCCUGUAAUGUGUACAGGACUCUGUCCCCACCCUGCUUCCCAGAGCCACCACCUCACCACCUCCUAGUCCACCCCCCGGAUGGCCCCCUGCCCUCAAGGGUGGCCACAGUGCUGGCUCUUGCCCCUCCUGGACCUCAGGGUGGGCCUCCUGCCUCUUUGCCUUUUCCCCUCUCUAGGAGCCCACUUACCCUUGGGAAAAUGUAAUAAACUGGUUCACCGUAAAAUAGGUCCUUAAAUUAUAUCUCUUCAAGGCCAUUUAACUGGGGGCUCAGCCUUAAAUCACAAGAAUUGGUCUGUUAUUGUGGAAUAGUGGAUGACAUGAAAGGAGAGCUCUUGUCUCCUGUGCUUUCAGCUCAUUCAGGGACACGAAGAAAGGAGGUAGGAGCCAUUUCAACCCUUGAUGGGGGCUCUUCUGUAGCCCUGAGUCCAUCCAUUCUGGGCACGCUGGAUCUUUAAAGACAGUCUCAGGGAUUGUUCAGGAACCCGGAAAAGGGGUAGAGGAAAGGCUCGGAGAGGGAUUCUGGCCACAAGGUGGCGCUCUUGCCCAGGGACGACCAGGUGGCCCUGAGACGUGGGUGGAGGGUGAGAAGCAGCUAGAACCACACGGGGGAAGGAGAGAGGGUAAGAGAGAGCGCUGUCUUUGUGGGGCUUCUAGUCAGGAGUUUGUCACUGAGCGGUAACCGGAGGGCCGAGCUUAAAGAACAAAUCGCAAAUUCUUCCACAUCAUUCUCAACCUCUGUUAGAAAGCCCUGCGAUUCUGAUUCCUGGGGUGCUGGGUUGGGGCUGGGUCAAGAGUGGACUUACACGGGGGCCAUUGAGGGUAGAAGGGGGUGCGGGGCAGGACACUGCUCUUUUCAGGUUCACGCAGAGUGGUCCUAGUAGGUUAACCGCGCAGGAAGCGCUGUCUUUCGGGGCGGUGGGCGCCGAGCCCCGGAGGCGCUCUGGGGGCGGUGUCUCGGCCUCCCCCGCGGGCCCGGCCCCGAGGCGGGGCUGCCGGCGCAGCUGUGCGCCCCUCGCCGGCCCGCCCCUCUGGGUCGCUCCUUGCUCUGCUUGGUGCCCGGCUUUCUUCACGUGCAGUGAUGACCACGUGUCCGAAAUGAGCAGCUGCUUUCUGUACAACCACAGAUCACUUCGGAGAACGGUGACUUUGGAUCAAAAGGGGGAAACUAUUUCAAAACAAAAUGCUGCAAGCUGGUCUUUUUUCUCUCUCUCUCUCUCUCUCUCAAUCUUUUUGGAGGGGAGGAGGAUUUAAAAAACAAACAAAAAUCUAAGUCGGUAUCUUCUCACAACUGCAGCUGAUUUCCUGUGUAAACGAAAACCAUGUGAUAUUCCAUAAAUGCUUCCAGCUCUCAGUGACAGGAAAUGAAAACCAUCAUGGAAAAAGGAAGCUUCAGAAUGAAUUCCCAGUGCAAGAGCAUUACAGCGACAUUUCAGCGGGACGGACGCUGGGCCGCCUGCACAGACCUGCGGGUCAUUAGCGACAGCUAGUCGGGGCCUGGGCCGGGGAGGGCGCCCCUCAAUGCUGCUCCUGCCGGAGAAAUGGGGCGGCGGCGAUCACACCCUCGGCGCUGCGCGGGCGGCUCAGGCUUUCAACGAGCGACGGGCUGGGAACAGGAGUCUUUUCUUCCUACGCGCCUCGCGGGGUCGGGUUGUGACCUCUCAACCGUAUUCAGUCGGCGGGGGCAUCCAUAUUCAUGAAGGCUAAUUAGCUCUGAAAGGCCGGCUGGCGGGCCCUCCCCGCCGCGCUGGGCGGGGGCGCUGGCCCCAUCCCCCGCCCGGGCGCCCGGCCUCCGCAGCUGCUCCCGCGGCCCCGGGCGCGCACAUGUGCGCAGGGAGCGCGGCGACCCCGCGGCGCGGGGACCGGGGGACGAGGGGAAUUAGCCGCGUCAUUUGUCGCCAGCCUAGCAACACGUGCUUGCUUAUUCUGAUACCUCCGCCCGGCCCCUGCGUUCUGCGGCCGCAGGCUGAACAUCCCUGCUUGUUCCCGCUCUGUUCCUCAUUUGGUGAUCUGCCUAAGAGAGACCUGUGGGCAGAAAGACACAACCCCACUGGCAGUGCUGUAAAUUUCACUACUCCUUAAAGCUGUCUCUGAGAGGUGCGUCAACGUUGCGAUUUGACUGAAGGGAAAAUUGAGGCCCUGAGAAAUCAGGCAAUAGAAGAAAUCCAGAGUCCAGAUCAAGACUGGAACCCUGUCCCAAGUUCCAUGGACUCAAGGGUCCAUGUGCUGGUUCCCUGGGCCCACAUGGAUUCCCAAACCUGGGGAGGUCUGGCCUAGUGGUGGUCUGGUGGCCCCACUGUUGGGGCUGUCACACUGGCACCUUUCACAGAUACUGCGAACAGUAGAAGAUGCCAUCGUGGACACAUAGAAACAGGUCUUCCUGUAAGAGCCUCUGCGACACAACCCUGAAUGUGCAAAUAUGGUGACUUAAGGAAACAAAGACUUAUUUACCCUGAAUUUUUCUGUUAGGAAGAAAAAAAAUUUUAUGUUAUCUUUCUGAAACCACCACCUGUCAUCUCCGCUGUACUCGGCCUAAUGGGGCCCCACAAGAAAGAAAGGAGCCCAUUACAUAGAGGAAUCUCCGGUGAUCGUGCCGAGCUGUGUGGAAAUGACUGCUGGAAUCAACAGAUGGGGUAUCAAUGGAUACCCCAUUGUGGGUAUUUCACAGGCUGCCUCCAGCAUCCAGACCCUGGACUCAACUUAUGGAUCAUUGCACAAAUCCUGGAUCCUCUGCUGUAUCCAUCUAUUUUGUCCACUGUUUUCACAAUUAUAAAAGAAAUGGAUAUUUAUUGUAAAAUGUCUGGAAAAUACAUGCAUAUAUAAAGAAAAAAUAAAAAUGGCGGGGAAUAACCACUGCUGACAAUU